AGUGGCAGCCACGUUUAUGCUAAUGAGGCACGGGAUAUUUAAAUCCCCACUUGAUUAGCAAUUAUGACGUGCUUGAUUUGCAUCCCUCUGUCAACAGAAGGAUGCAGUCUAGACGUAGCUUAUAGUAUUAGAUUUCUGAGAAGCUUCAAAUAAAGUGCUAAUUUAGGCUUCAACCCUGCAAUAAAAUCUCCAUGCAUGGACCUUUUUAUCCAUGUGUUUCCCAUGGCAGGGUCUGCUCAUAACUGAUCACAGUAAUUCUCUUUUGAUCACAAACUUGAUGCGAAUGUUUGAUUUCCCACACAAAAACUGAUCUAGAUCCUGUUGGUGCCAACACCUAUAUCCUAAAAGCAAUUAGCAGGAGAUAGGCGAUCUAACUCUCCUUUCCAAUACUGUUUCCCUUGGUGGGCUUUUUAUUUUCUCCUGGCCUGAUCCAGGAGCCAUUGAACCUCAUGGAACAAUUUCUGUUGAAUUCACUGGGCUUUGGAUCAGGCCUAGAAAGUAGUUCAGAUCGGUGGUAUCGUGUACAGCUGGUAUCAGAACAAUCAGAAUGCAGGUAAGGCUUGCCCUUUAAUUGCUAAUAAGCAUAUCAGCAGGGAGGAUCUAUAUAAAAUUAAAAGAUGUUUCACAAAGAUUCAUCAUCAGGUUUCUGCUCACAUAUAGGGUGUGGUGGGAUUAGAACUGCGCCCAGAAAAGCAUUCUUUCCUACUUUAGAUGCUAAAUGAUAUAUAUUCCAUGGGAUAACCUUAUAUAGUCUUACAUUCUCAGGCAAGACCGGCAAAUAACAAAGAGUACUGAAGUUAAUUAAUUAUUAUAUAUAGUGAUGGGAGGACAUAACCACAAAAAACCUUCCCGAUUUUGGCACACAUACCCAAGGUUGACGAGAUUUGGCUUUGCACUUUCUUGGAUCAUGAAAUUAAGAGGGAGAUUCUGAGCAUUCCCAAGGUAUUUGGUUUGGGAUUUAUCUCCAAUAUACAGCAUUUGCUGUAUCAUUAUUUGCCAGAUGUCCUGGCUUCAUCUGGAUAAUCAUGGCUGAUUCUUUUGGGAGAAUGGAAGGAGGAAGCAAUUUAAAUGUUUGCUUUGUAGCUUCCAUAGGCUAUGCUGCAGUUAUUCCUUGCCAUGGCUGUACCUCGAGUCUCUCAUUGAGUUUUCUCUACAGUGUCCCAUUCCUUACUAGAGACAUGGGUGGUUGGUAAAGGCUGGGCUGGACUGGGGGAGGCAAGCUCCCAGCCCUACCUCUUCUGUUAGGCCCUGCCCCCUGGGCAUGCUCCCCCCUUCCAACCAUGGUGAGGGAGGGGAACAGGUGCAUGCUUGCCACAGCCUCCCUAGUCCUGGUGGACGGUGCACAGUGCCAUGCCGCUGGGCUGAGCCAGGCCAUGCGGCACACUAGGAAGGGAGGAGGUAGGUAGUGCUGUGUUGCAUGGUCCAGCUGAGCCCAGCCUAGCCUCUUGAGCACAGGGCGAGGAAGGGCGUGCGGCACCUCGAAUCCACGACCCUGUCCUCCCCAGGCGAGAGCCAUAUCCCCUAGGCCACGCGGGAACCUGUCCCACCACCUUACUGCAGGGAGGCAGGCCUAGAAGCAGCAACACUCCACCCCAGAAUACCUACAGCAGGCACUCUGGGGACCGAGUGUGGACAGGGCCAUGCCUGGCAGUUUGAGAAGGCAGAACCUUCCCUUGCCUCACAUACCUGACACCCCUGGCUAGAGAGCAGAUUGCCCCUAGGCUAGCUGCACGUUCCUUUUUUCCACACACCCCUACUGAUUAUUGUACCAUCGUUUCUUCUAUGGUUGCCACCAGAGCAUUUCCUCAUGAUUUUUGUUAGCUAUCCUACCGGUGACUGUCGUCAGACUUGUACAUGAAUCAUUUUAGCACUUGUAGUUAGAAUAUGAUUUCUGUCAUUUUAAAUCUGUUUUUAUAUGCAGUCGCCAUAAUCCUGAAUGAGAGCAAUCCUGGGCUUCCUCUCCAGCUCUUUAUUUUUAUGCGUUUGGCUACUAUAGAUUGUGAAAUUCAGUAAAACAGAUUAAUCAAACAUGCAAAACCAUCUUCCCUCUGGUUUUAAAGAUUCUAGUCUUGGCUCAUUUUGUGGGCUCUGGCAGCAGACUGUGGACCCCAUCAGCAGCAGGGAGUUCACAGCAGCAGAUGCCACCCACUGUCUUUACUGUAGCAGGAGCCCGAAGACAGCUGCUAAUCGCAGAAAGCGAGUGGAGCCAAGAGGAGAUGUGACACUCAUGAGAAGCACUGGGCAGUUUAUCUGAGCAGCCUCAAUCAGCAGAGUUCCUGCGAAGAACCCAGGCAGAGUUUAAAUCUCCACCCCUCCGUAGCAGAACUCUUGACAGAGGACUGUGGUGACGCUGCUACAGAUGUCCCCUCAAUGCAGGAGCGUACUGUUUGUAUACCUGGACUGAAUCAUGUCCUAGAACUGCAUUAUCCUUCUUCUGGGGCUGGAUCACCUUUUCUGAUUUUCAGUACUCAAUAAUUAAUAAAGAUUUUACUUUGCUUCAAUA